rnacentral:lncRNA from 1 species
GUGUAGUCUAAUUAUUUCCCAAAUGAUAAACAAUGAGCUACCAUUUAGCCAGUGCUUACAAGAGCCAGACUGUCCUGCAUGCUUUAUGUAGCGGGCUUAGCACUUGAAUCGCCUGACUUGACCGCUUACUAGCUAUGUAACCUCAGGGAAAUUUACUUAGUCUCUACAACCUCAGUUUCCUCACCUGUUUGCUGGGGACCACCCCGUUGUGACGGAUUAUUGUCCUGAGGAUGAAUGUGAUACACAGUUCUAAAGCAGGAGCCCACACCAGUUGAGGCUGAUUAGCUACUGCCACAGCUGAAUAUCCAAACUGCCAGCAACAGAGACCAACACUGAGUCCCCAGUAUGGCACCAUACCUUGAGGAGACCAACCAGCCAUUUAAUGACAAGCUGUCUUUGCCAGACUUCUGUCCUGCAAGGAAGAAUGCACUGAUCUAGAGACCAAGACAUGGAAGUAGGAAUGUCCCCACUUACCAAUGCUCUUGCUGAUCUUUUGGGAGACUUUGUACAACUCUUAACCUCUGCAAGGUAUAGACACCCAGGCAUGAGAAGAUCAUGGUGAUGAAGGGCUCAUAACCUUGUUGAUAAGGAUCUGGGUUACACUACCAGGAAGAGAGGCCUGUGGGAAUCCUGGAGGAGCUGCUCCUUGAAAGUAUAUGGGGAAGUGGAUCUAAGUGGCCCCGGGGGAGAACACAGGCAUGUUCUCCCAGACUCCUUCCAGGAAGAACUAGCUCUGAGGCAGAGUACAGUCAGCAGAGAGCUUCCAGCUUUCAGCUCUGCCUCAGCGGCAGAGUCAGCUCGAAUUCCCACCAUUCCUGGGGAUGCCUGCAUUUACCUGGUUGCUGAGUGACACUGAUGGGUAUACUCACUCCAGAGCUCUCUGCCAGGUCGGCUGAGGCUUUAUGGAGCCUAUAUUGCAGUUCAAGUUCUUCCUCCACCCAUCCUACAUCCCCCACACUCCUCUCCCUAAUAAAUAUCUGCACUGCAUAUUCC